rnacentral:lncRNA from 1 species
CACGUGAUUGGUAUUUAAUGGCGGUGACUCCUCUCACGCUUUUUUUUCCCCUGCGCAACUGGGCUGAGUUCAGGAUCCAGAAUGCGCCAGGAAGAUAGAUGCCUGCAGAGACCACAUGCUGCACCAGAAGAUCCAGAGUGAACUUCGAAUCCGCGGCUGCCUCUCUCUCUGUUUUCCUGAAUAUUGGUGGGCAGAGCCCCCAGAACUUUUCAGGACUGGUGAGAUAUUCCCUCGUCUGAUUUUCAUGCCCGAGGGCUGUCUCUCACCAGUGUCAAGAAACUGAACUACGGAAGUUGGUUUUCUCACCUUGGGAAUCUGGGAUAGACACUUCUGUUAAUUAGAGCCCCCGAGAAGAGAAAGAGUCACGGGCUGAGACAGGUACGAAGGUUAAGAUGACACAGUAGGAGAAGGCAGAAAGAGUAUUCCGCAGUGAUUUAUAAGUCUUCACUGACUGAAAUACAAUGGCUCACUGACUCAUGGGAAAAGGGUGCCCCGCAUAUCGGAUUCCCAGCUCCGGACUCCUUUGGGCUGGAUUCAGUUCUUGGGGCCGUGCGCUAAAGGAGGGAAGUUAGAUUCUCAGUCUUUCUGACUCAGUAUGCCUCUAAUCCACAGUUGAAUUCCGAGAACAUUUUCUAAAAACGAUCUUUAGGCAAGGCUCAUGUCUAUAAUUGAGCCUAAAAGGGUCGCCUCCCUUCCAAAAAUGGUACUCAGAAUAAUUUAGAUAAAGCACAGGACAGCAACUUAUUGGCUCCCUUAGAGAAGAAGAGGUGAAGACACACACGACUCAGUAGCAAACGUUGACAAAUACUUGGAUCAUGAUAUGAUAAACCAUAAGUCUGAUUGUACUUACUGGGAGCUUGACACUUAAACCAUUAAAGCAGGAGACACUUUAUAGGUCUGCUGAAUAGACAUCACUUUAAUCUCAGUUCUUUACUGUCAGUAGUCACAAGGCCAUUAUCACGUGUCAAACUCAGCUAUGCCUCACACGCAUAGUCCUCCUCUACUCUCCAACAGCGUUUCCGUGGUCACCUGCUAUUACAUAGUCAACAUGCUGAUGAGGAAGCUCCCCACCUUAGUAGGUUAGGAGCAAGACGAGGACUAGCCAUCACAGCAUGGAGGGCUCCUUGAUAAAAACUGCUUGAGGCCCACCCUAGCUGAAACACCCUGAAGUCAUCCCCUUUACUUGAAGACUCCAGUGUUAAUAAUCACCUGAAGCUUUUUUGACCCUAUUUUUCAUUUUGGCAAGUUAAGUCAAGAGGCACUUUAAAAUGCUAAUAAUGUGU